AUCAUGUGUUAAAGUUUUAGAUAAUUUGGCGCACCCAGUUUGGAGAGAAAUUUUAUAAAUAUUUUCACUUUUUGGUAUGUAUAUAUCGCACUUUCGUAUUACCUUAACACUGUAAGAAGUUAAACGAGCGUCUUGUGGUCAACACGUUUAAACUCAAUACUUUCGCUAUUCCCAGAGAGACCUAAGAAUGUCAUAAGUUAACUGGAAGUAAGGAGUUAUUUGGCACUUUAAACGACACUUAGAAAUAGAGAAGUAGUAUUAACUAACGAUCAGAGCGGUAACUUUUUGCUGGUUAAAUAUUCGAGUAACAGUAAGGAUUUCCAUGCACAUGGUGCACUCUUUCUCGCGUGCAUUCGAAAACUGUUCCAUGCCUCCUGAAUAAGGAUAUCACUGUUAAGGUAACCGCUAUCUCUAGAAUUGUUUACCUAAAAGCACUAGAAACGUCAAUUUUAACAUCACCUAGUAGGAAGCGCAUAACAAUGUAACUUACAGGUUACCUUUUUGUAAACCAAUAAUUCACACGCGCUACACAAAUUAUUAACAUUUGCCGCACGGUGUCUUUGUACAGAUUCUUGUAAGAUGAAUAACGUUAACGAUAUUGCAAUCUGUCUUUUGUAGCGACACAAGGUAGAAGUGACCGUUUCGUUUGAUGUGCGCGAAAAUGGUGCGAAUAAUGUUAACGAUAUUGCAAUCUGUCUUUUGUAGCGACGCGGUAGAAAUGAUCGUUUCGAUUGGUUUGCACGAAAAAGGUGCGAAUAAUGUUAACGAUAUUGCAAUCUGUCUUUUAUAGCGACACACGGUAAAAGUGACUAUUUCGUUUGGUUUGCGCGAAAAAGGUGCGUCUAUGGUUAAGCGAGAUUUUAGGGAGGUACUUUAUAUGAUUGGCCCAUCCACCUGCGGGGUCAUGCAGAGCUUAAUAUGAUAAGAAUAGAAGUUACCGAUCAAAGUGAUAUCGUUGACGAGGCGUGGAAUAGGAUUGGAUCCAAGCGGCGAGACGAGACGUCAGGUGUUCCACAGCUCGUCGACGAUUAUUAUAUUAAUAAGUUACGAGUUAUUGGAUCUUUUCGCCGCGCUACGGCCCUCGGCUGUCACGUGGAAUUCCGUAACUCGGGUACAUAAUUUGUCACGAGGCCUCAUUACGCGUCGUCGAGCAUUCCGAGGUCCAGAAUACGCUGACGGUGUUUGCUGUAAAUAUUAGACGGUUACACUCUGUGUAAACGGGUCGCUGGGACGAAUAAGCGGGGAGACCGACCAUCGCGUGUAUGUACAACUACGUAUGUAUAAAUACAGGUGUACCUAGAA